rnacentral:rRNA from 1 species
GACGAACGCUGGCGGCGUGCUCAACACAUGCAAGUCGAACGGUAAGGCCCUUCGGGGUACACGAGUGGCGAACGGGUGAGUAACACGUGGGUGAUCUGCCCUGCACUUCGGGAUAAGCCUGGGAAACUGGGUCUAAUACCGGAUAGGACCACUGCCUGCAUGGGUGGUGGUGGAAAGCUUUUGCGGUGUGGGAUGGGCCCGCGGCCUAUCAGCUUGUUGGUGGGGUGAUGGCCUACCAAGGCGACGACGGGUAGCCGGCCUGAGAGGGUGACCGGCCACACUGGGCCUGAGCUACGGCCCAGACUCCUACGGGAGGCAGCAGUGGGGAAUAUUGCACAAUGGGCGCAAGCCUGAUGCAGCAACGCCGCGUGAGGGAUGAAGGCCUUCGGGUUGUAAACCUCUUUUAGCAGGGAAGAAGCGAAAGUGACGGUACCUGCAGAAAAAGCACCGGCUAACUACGUGCCAGCCGCCGCGGUAA